rnacentral:tRNA from 1 species
CUGGAUAUAGCUCAGUUGGUAGAGUGCUUGCCUUGCAUGCAGAAGGCCCUGGGUUCCAUGCCCAGCACCAAGA